UACAGAGGUCUCAAGCGUUGUUCGGAUUCAUUGGGCGUAAAGGGUGCGUAGGCGGCGCGGUAAGUCGGGUGUGAAAUCUCGGAGCUUAACUCCGAAACUGCAUUCGAUACUGCCGUGCUUGAGGACUGGAGAGGAGACUGGAAUUUACGGUGUAGCGGUGAAAUUCGUAGAUAUCGGGAGGAACACCAGUGGCGAAGGCGGCGAUCUGGGUCGAUACUGACGCUGAGGUGCGAAAGCGUGGGGAGCAAACAGG
rnacentral:rRNA from 1 species